rfam:Myotis lucifugus cont2.53561, whole genome shotgun sequence.
GCCAGUUUGGCUCAGUGGCUAGAGCGUUGGCCUGCAGACUGAAGGGUUCCGGGUUCAAUUCCCGGUAAAGGGCA